GUUCAAAUCUCUCGGUCUGUUAGGAUGCCUCAGCUACAUACAUCACUGCACUUCCACUUGACACCUAUCGUAAUGAUAAACGGCUCGUCUCGCCGUGACCUUA
rnacentral:rRNA from 2 species